rnacentral:lncRNA from 1 species
UGUAAUAUACACUUGAGGGCUCAAAACCCUAUUUUUAAAGAAAAAACAUGCUAGUCAAGGCUGAGAUGUUUGAUUUAAAGAUUUUUCGACACCAGAACCACAAAUUUAUGUAAACUCUGAGGUGAGGCUUUAUUUGUUUUGAUGGGGCCGCAGCCCCAUCAAAAAAAUUAUUCUUGUAUAAACCCUCUCUCUCUCCAUCUCUCCCACCAGGCAAAAAUCGACAAUUGGACUACUGAUUGAGGCUAAAAAAUUUAAUAAUACUCUCUCUCACUAUUGAGAGAGGAAAAAUGUCUCUUGGGUCCUGCCAAAGGCCACCAUGAAAACCCUUCUUAUACCUCAGGCCUGGAUGAGGAAAUAAGAUUAUAACAGGAAAAAGAAAAAAAAAAAAAAAGAACAGGGAGUUUCAAGAAGGAAAACAAAUUCAGUGGCUUGAGAUCACAUUGAUGCGGCGUUUGGAGAUAUAUGUGGAACUGGGGAGCGCGCUCCUUCGCUGCUUCUUCCUUUUGCUGGAAGAGGUAAAACAAGUGUUCCUCAGGAUCACCUCCCCUUCACACAACAACCGCGCCCAAAUUCUCCCUCUUCUGAUGGUUGCAACCUUUCCUUGAACAUAGAAAGCAGCCUCAUUUUCUUCCCUACAAUUAAAAAGGCCCGUAAUUUCCCGUGCACAUUUGUCAUUUCUAUAGGAUAUUUCUUUUUGUUGCUUUUAGUUGUUUCAAAUUCUUUUGUAAUAUAUGUCAAAUUCUUUGUAGUUGCCGUGAUGGGUUGAUCUGCUUCUUUUUUUAAUCAAAUUAAAAAAUUUCUCUCUGUUAAAUGGAUAUCUUACUUUACAGCUAGAAAAUAAGGUCUGGUUAAGAGAUAUCCGCAUAUGGGGGGGAAGAUCUCUUCCGAAAUGCCCUCCCAUGGUUCCUAGAAUGUGUUUUCUGAUGAAAAAUGUGGGACAAUCUUAAAUUUUGCUUUCAUAAAGACCUCAACAUUAUCAAAUGUUUCCGAUCCAUAUUCUCAUUUCUUUUGGGAACUGCUCUACUCCACUCACCUGAUUUUUCUCUCUGCACCCAUAUACAUGGGUGGAUUAUAGAUAUUUGUGGAGAUUCUUUAGCUGGGAAUGGCGAAAAUAUCACAAAACAAUGUGUACAACUGGGAUCCUUGAUUCUGCGUACGAG